rnacentral:ncRNA from 2 species
GAUAAUCUUCAGGGCAGGGCGAAACUCCCUACCGGCGGUAACUAUUCUUAUAGAAGCCCGCGAGCGCUUUUUGUUAAUUCAAAAAGGUCAGCAGAUUUGGUGAGAAUCCAAAGCCGACAGUAUAGUCUGGAUGGAAGAAGGUUAUU